CAGGAACGUUAUUCAUGGCAGUGAUGCUGUUGAGAGUGCGAGGAAGGAGAUUGCUCUUUGGUUCCCAGAAGGAAUUGCAGAAUGGAAGAGCAGCGCGCACCAUUGGAUCUACGAGUAAAUUUCCUGAAUUCGACCCGUGCUGUAUUAUUGCAGGGAGUCAUGAGUCUUUACUUCAAAUUGAGUUGUUAGAACAUUGGAUUUGCAAGUUUGUUUCCCUUGAGCUUUUGGUACUUUGAAUUUGAGUUUGUUUGGCUUGCAUGGAACAUUUCAAUGUCUAAUGACUGUUAUUAUAGUUAUGAGCUAGUUUUUAACUUGGGUUAUUUGCCAAUUUAAUGCAAAGCUUUCUAGCAAAUUUCUAAUUUGGAUUGAAAAAAUCGCAAUUUUCUUUGGCGGAAAGUUGAUGGGGCACUAAAACAUCAUUUUGUUCAUGAGCAAUUACAAAAAAGUCUAAAUUAUACCCUGCUCUCUCCCAAACUCAGCACAGGAAGCAUCCAAUUACCACAUUCUUGCAACUAAAUUAUUAAAAAAAUUAUCAGAACUAAAUUCAACAAAUUCAAGGUUUCUAUCAUUACACAAUUUCAAGAUUUUGCUCUGCAAGGACCAAAGAUGCAUGUUUCGACAGUUGUAAAAUUUCCACAACAAAUUUGAUUUCAGCUAAAAAAAAUACAAAAUUCAAACCGUAUCUUUAAAUUCUCAAUCGAGGGGCAUGCAGUUUACAGCAGACAAUAACUAUGAUGAUAGACCUUAACUUGUAUCUAUACUAUCUAUACCUGCCACAAUAUUACUGUUCCUAAUCAUUAUCAACAAAUACAUAUCCUUCCAGUCAAAAAAGAAAAAGAAAAAGUGAUACACUUUGGAUUUUGCUACUCAAAAGCAAAGUUAGAGCUAACUUGCUUUUGUAUUACAGACAACCUGCUUGGCUUCUUGGUACUUCCACGAUAACCAGAAGGUAGCAGAUUGGAGGAGAUUGNACAAUUAUGCCAUUACCGUUUUAAUUUUCAUCUACCUGAAUCGAGAAAGGACAGUGGUUUAAGGCAAAAGUAAUAUCAUAAUGUUUAUUUUGGUUGUACUUUCACUUCCUGAUCAGUUGAGGGAACUAUGCUAGUGUGAAAAUUUGAAUGCAUAAAAUUGUUUCAGCUUUAUGUAAUUUUGUGUCUUUAUUUGCCAUUUCAAUCAUGUGGUUCCCCCUAUUUAGGUCUUAAGCUAAUUACUGUGGAUACUGCUUUUGCUGAGAGGCACUAUGCCGAUUUAUCUGCCAAGCCCUUCUUCAACGGACUGGUGGAGUACAUCGUUUCUGGACCUGUUGUUGCAAUGGUUUGGGAAGGUAAGAAUGUUGUGGCCACAGGCAGGAAGAUCAUCGGAGCCACCAACCCUGCUGAGUCUGCUCCGGGGACCAUCCGUGGCGAUUAUGCUAUUGAUAUUGGCAGGUGGGAUUUCUUCUGUGACAGUUGGUACUUAAAUACUUUCCAAAUUUCAGAAAUACAUAGUUGUCAAAAAUCACCUGCAUCAGAAAUAUGAUAUGUAUAUAUACCGUCACAAUUGCAGGAACGUUAUUCAUGGCAGCGAUGCUGUUGAGAGUGCGAGGAAGGAGAUUGCUCUUUGGUUCCCAGAAGGAAUUGCAGAAUGGAAGAGCAGCGCGCACCAUUGGAUCUACGAGUAAAUUUCCUGAAUUCGACCCGUGCUGUAUUGUUGCAGGGAGUCAUGAGUCUUUACUUCAAAUUGAGUUGUUAGAACAUUGGAUUUGCAAGUUUGUUUCCCUUGAGCUUUUGGUACUUUGAAUUUAAGUUUGUUUGGCUUGCAUGGAACAUUUCAAUGUCUAAUGACUGUUAUUAUAGUUAUGAGCUAGUUUUUAACUUGGG
rnacentral:lncRNA from 1 species